UCCAUACUUAUUUCAUAAAUAUUUCAAGCAAACUAUUUAUAUAUAUAAGCCUACUUCCUGUUUUUGUUUUUACGAAACAGAUUAAAAAAAAUACCCGAGCUUUUGUUUCUGUUUCGUUUUGUUUACUCUUUGUUUUCAACAUGUUAUUCUGUUACAGAGCGUUCGGAUAUCUGGUUGCAACUUAUUUGGUUGUUCAGUUCGGGACUACCACAUUGCACGUGUAUCACGUGUGUCUUGAAAAUGACAUACUUUCAGACUAUAAGCCGGAACCCGGGCUAAAAAUUCCCGGUUACGUACAGCUGCUGUUUAUUGACGGGAGAACGGAUGAUGUGCAGACUUUAGUCACCAGUGCCCAUCAAGUUUGUGAAAGCUUUUACAAAACCAUUGUUCUAGAAGGAAGCGAAAUCCACCAUUUUAGUUCUGUUUUAUCUAAAACAAGAAGAGCGUACCAUGUCAACGGCUUGACAAUUGACAAACUGGCUAAAAAAGUUAGACCACAGUUCAGAAAAUUACACGAAAACAUAAUAUUCUUUGAGAGAGAAAUUCUGGCAUUUGUUUUCUACUACAAAAGAACUUACGAAAAUAGUUACGGAACUGAUAUUGGAAUCAAAAGAGAAUUCAAAAUUUAUGAUGAAUUCUUAAGACAAAGGCGGAAAUUCGCCUAUGGACUUGAGAGAAAAGCUCAGGAUUUCAGGGAUAAAGCGAGGCAGCUGGAUAAUGACGCUUCGUCUGCAGUAGCAAUAUCUUUUUUUUGCAUCGCUUACUGUAUUAUAGGCCUAGGGUCUGUAUUUGCGAAAGGAAGAUUGCGAUACUUUUUACUUUGUGUUAUGAUAUUUGUAGCAUUCUGUGGUUCGUUUUUUACAAUAGAUUUCUGGAAACGAGCUGCAGAAUUCCGCGUGAAAGCCGACAGGACAGAUGCUGAGUUCCAUGACCUUCUGAAAGAAGUCAGAACAUAUCAGGAUUACGUCUUCAAAUCAAGAAACGUGACCAUUUCUAAUUUUCUGAAAGCAGCAGACGACAAACAAGUGAAAGAAACCCUUAUUAUACUGAGAAUUUUCACUGAAGUCAUGAAAAGUCUUCAAUGGAUUGACAUAAAAUUGCAGAGGUUGGCGUCACUGGCGGAGACACUGGAAAUGAACAGAGAUUUGAUAGAAAAAACAGAUAUGUUAGAGCAGAAGUCGCGUCCUAUCAUGCAUGAACUGAGAUCAACACUUGAAAAUAUCACCGGAAACAUUGACAGAAUAUUUCACAUUUUGAAAUAGAAUAUUCUAAUACAUUCAGGUCUUCGCUCCGAUCUCCUUAUUGAUUUAUGUGAUAAAAAGUUUUUGUUUAUUGUGAUAAUUAUAUAUUCUCAUGAUUUAAAUGUUUAUAAAUAAUGUUUUGCUCAAAGAAAAGUCAAGAUUUUCAAUCAAAUAAUAGAUUUUUAGGUCUAAUAAUACUCAGGUCCAUUUCUUCUCAAGAAAAAAGUCUUACCCUUUCCUAAAGUAGAAAAGCUAAUAACAUACAUUUAUUGCUGUUGUCGAAGUUGUUGUUGUUAUGUUUUGUCAUGAUCGAAUUCGGUUUUGAGUUGCUUUUAUCAUAAUUUAUAAACUCUUUAAAAAAGUAUUCCAUAUUGCAGCAUUAUAUAGAUUUAUCUAGAUCUAAUAUAUUAAAGUUAUUCCAACUGUUUUCUCAAGUUAUCUCUACUGUACAUAUAAUUGUGCAAUCAAGAGUUAUUCCCCUUUACUACCCUUACGCCAUUACAUAUGGUAACAAGCAGACAGCAAAUUUUGAUAAUUUGUCAACAUUUUCCAGGCAGUUCCUGUUAUAUAGAAAAUGCCUGGCCACAGCAAAUUUCUCACUGGGCCAUCAGCUCCCAAGAAAAGUCGUUAUGUCUUCAUGUCUUCGCUAGGACAGAAAACAGACAGUGAUGUUGAUAGCCUUGAGUCUCUUCUAUCUAGUCCUCGGCGAGGCAAGAGUAAGUCACGCCCAAGAUUUCAGGAUGAUUUCCAAACAUGUGACUGCUCAGGCUGCACCGGAAUACCAUCAGACUCGAGUGAUGCCGAAUCGGAUGAAGAUCCAGCCGUUAUUAGAAUCGUAUUAGAGAGUGACUCUGAAUCUUUUGGUUCCAAUGGGAAAUUUGAAGGUAUAGAACGGCAGUAUGAAAACAACGUAGAUGAUGACAUUAAGAAUAUUGGUCAGUCAGUGUUAGACCAUUUUCACUGUGAAGUUGUUUUAGAUGACGGGGUAUGUGAGAUGCAUCGUCCGGGUUGCAGAUACUGCAGAUGCCUUGCUGACUGUCCACGUUGGAAAGAUCCAGAUGUUUGUCCUCUCCAGUGGAAAGAGCUGUUCGAGGAAAAAGUCAACGAUCCAAAGGACUACCACCAGAUCAUGAAGUAUUCCAAACUGUACCAUACAAUAUACUCUGAGGGUACCGCUAUGUACCUAUACACGGAUGAGGUCAUGGCCAUGUGCAGGACGCACAAAAACCACCUUUGUUUAGACAGAACAUUUAAUAUUGGUCCCAGUUACGUCGUUAUGUUCAUGUUCAGAAACAAGAACCUCUACAUCAAGGCUGACAAGAAUAAGCGCUCCCCGUUGAUGUUAGGUCCAGUCUUGCUCCACUUCGACUUAAGUUCAGACGCAACAUUUAUACCGUUCUUUGAUCACAUCAAACGCUUGUGUGGCAUCACCACGGAGGAAAAAACACCGAAGGAGUUUGACCAGAAGUCGUUAAAAGGUAUUCCCAUGAAACAGAGGUCUUUGUACGAAGGAAUAAGACAGUCGUUUGGUGACAGUGUGAAUUUCUGUGAGCGCAACAAUCUCCCACGUCUGCUGCACGGUAAAAUGAAGAAAGAAGUCACGUGCUACUCAAAGCUGAAGGAUCUGAUCAAAGUUCUGUACGAACAAUAUGAAGAAGACAAGAAACACGUGAUGGAUGCGCUUAUUGGCCGGGGAAAGUGGCGUCUCACCGAGCAUGCGCAGGAAGUAAUGAAGAACUCCGGAAGCGGAAAUACAUUAAAAGACUUUGCAGCUAUUGAACUUGCGGAAGGUGUGCUAUAAAAGAAUGAAUGAAAAACUGUUUCGUUGACAUUGAUGCAUUAUUCUUGAAUAUCCAAAGCUAUGAUUUGGACAGAAAUUCUAAAAGCUGCUAUGUUAGAAAUUACAGAUGAUUCGUGCCUCGUUUGAAUGUUUAGUUCAACUGUUUGUUCUUGUUGUUGGGUUGAAAAUGAAAAAUGAAAGUCUUAGAUUUAAAAGUAAUUAUACGUACAUUUUUCUAUUUUUCAGUGUUUAAUAGAGUUUAAGUGCACCUGUCUUUUGACUUUAGGAGAAGUCUUUUCUCUGUUCAUUAUUAAAACAUUUUAUUCAUCAUGGUGAAAAUGCGGAGGCUGAAUGUUAUGCUCCUUGCAUGUGUUUAUCAUGUAUAUGUAUCAUGUCGUUGUUUUUGAGAUUAUGAAUUUUAAGUGAAAAAAAAAUAGUAGAAAGAAAUUCAGAUAUUUAAAAGUGUUUUUGAUGAAGGCGUAUAGUGGAAUCAUUAAAGAAAAGGUAGAAUUUCAGAAGACUUUAUGAGCCCAGAAACGUAUAUUCAUUUAACAGGGCAUGUCACGUGAUGUGUUAAUGUUUUCUCUGGUAAUGUUUAAAAUUGACGGAAUAAGUAUAGAGAUCUAUAAUUGUAUGAAUUUCCAAGGAUUUUUUUAUAAAAAAUAACUGUAUUUUUUAGGUUUAAUUAUCAUUGAUCAGGUCAUAAUGUCACUUGUUAUAAGUUGAAUCCUACAUGUUUGGCAUAAUUAUAUAUUCCUUCAAGGUUUUUAACAGAACUGAGAUGAAAUUUUUGAAAUGCAAUGUUUACAAAUAGUUUAUGUUAAGAAGUUUUAUGCGUAGUCUUAAUUUAAAAAAAAGACACGCACCGAAAAUGUGAUUUACAUGAAGAACAUUUCAACGUGACCAGACUUAAACAAGCAAAAUUCAUGCCAUGUAAGUUUCUAUUUAGCUAAAUUGCCAUCCAGUUGCUGUUUUUCUGUUAGUUUGUCAUUGAAAAUAACAUGUUGUUAUGUUUACUUUUAAAUUGUUGUGAAAGCUACCUUACAGUUCAUUUAGCUAAUAAACUGAUUAAAAUGUUA